GGGGGAUGUGUCACCAACAGGAUAUUUUUUUUCCUUAUUUCUCUGAACUAUAAGCUACAAGCGUUUCAAGGUUCCUAGAUGCCAUUUCUUGAAGCAAUGUAUUCACUGGAUAUUAUUUUUGUUAAAAAAAGUAACUAUAACAUCUCUAAAGAAAGCUAAAGGUGAAGACAAAGAAAGAAGCAGCAGGAAAAUUAUAAAUGUCUAUUCAUAAAAUUGAUCCAUUACGACUUUUUAAGAAGCUACCAGAGUUGCGUUUAAUUCAAAACUAUAAUUAUGCUAAUAAAAAUUACACAUCGCUAUUAGUAA